UACGUAGGGGGCUAGCGUUGUCCGGAAUCAUUGGGCGUAAAGCGUGUGUAGGCGGCGCGUUAAGUCCGCUGUGAAAGCCCAGGGCUCAACCCUGGGAUGCCGGUGGAUACUGUCGGGCUCGAGUCCGGAAGAGGCGAGUGGAAUUCCUGGUGUAGCGGUGAAAUGCGCAGAUAUCAGGAGGAACACCAAUGGCGAAGGCAGCUCGCUGGGACGUGACUGACGCUGAGGCGCGAAAGCGUGGGGAGCAAACAGG
rnacentral:rRNA from 1 species